UUGUGAUUGGUAGUCUAAUAUUCUGUUGCCUAGUUGGAGACAAUGGAGGUAUUCCAGUUCAGGUUUCGUCAUCUAGAUGGGCAAGGGAGGCAAUGAAUCAUGUGCAUAUGCUUUUAGCAAUGUUUGGGCGUUGGGAGUGACCUCGGUGAGUCCUGAAAAAAAGUAAUUAUUUGAACAUGGCCUGAAAUUUCUAUCAGGACCACACUGCAUCAGCAAUAUAUAAAAUGUAAUACGAUGUUCUAGCUCAGGUAGAGGCGGCGAUUAAAGCAAUUGUAACUCUUUGAUUAGGGUUCUGGUACUUGGUGUCACAGAAGAGCCUGUUGUUCGCUGUAGGAAUUUGUGCGGGGAUCUUACAGUCGGUAAUCAAAGUCAUCAAAUUUCAAUAAAGAAGAAUGUGUGGUAAGAAACUCAUAUGCUCUAUUGCUCUUCUUACCCGUUAUUAGUUCCUCAGAUUUCUUCAGCAUCCCCGCAGCUUUGUCCAAGAGUCCAGCUUCUGCGUUCCCACUUGCUGCAUUUUGUAAACUCUCUAGUCACAAACAAAAUUGGGAUCUGAUUCCACCAUUGCCAGAGUCUUAUCAAUUCCCUCAACAUCAGAUGUAGCUCCAAAGGCACCCAGGCGUAUACCCAUUGUAAAUUUAUCAUGUACAAUGCCUUUCUCUUGCAUUUCAUGCUUGUGACUCUCAUGCUUCUUGUAGUUUGCAGUCUGAUAAUAAAGAUUAAGCAGAACAUUGUAAGCCAACAAUGUCCAGGCCAACACACUGGCAAGCCGAAUCCAAUGGUCUACCAUCCGGCCGGAAGGGAGUAGGAUAGCAUUUAUUUAUGCCCAAGGUUUUGCAAAAGUAUUAUGUACCUGCCCAGAUUAUCAUUUACCCCGUUAAAAUUACAUUUACCUCUUGAGAUUAUCAU